rnacentral:lncRNA from 1 species
GACAGAACGAGGGUAACAGAUACUGUGCAGCAGAGCCUUCCCUGACACAGUUACAGCAGCCUGAAGGCGACGGUCAGGACAACUUUGUAAGAAGACCUGCAAGUUUAGCACCUCUGGGAGACAUGAAAGUGCUAGACAGGCUUCUCACAAACAGGAAGACCCGCAGUUUGGUGGCGCACGAAACACUCCGGACCCCUGCAGCAGUGCACUUUGUCUUGCUUGUUUACAGCAUAACAGCCACAGUUUCAGUUUUGGGGCCAAAUCUAACAUACAGAGAGUCUCUAUUACGAGACAUUAUAAAACUGUGUCCUGCCAGUACCAAAACGUCCAGUGAUUCACCUUCACAGAGUGGAAUAAUGGAAUAUAUGCUUGCAAACCCAACCAUCUUUGGCAUCACGGUUGUCUCUGCAGCCACUGCUUCUAUCUUCACUGUUGCAUUUUUCAUAAUGAAACUCCGAAAGAGGCAGAGGAGUACAGGAAACAGCAACACCAUCUACCAAGAUAAUCACAUCUAUGAGGAUAUUACAGACAUACAGUUUCGACUCACGACGCCGGAGGCACCAUCGUUGCUGUGCGUCUACAAAGACUAUAUACCCAAUCAACAGCAAAGUGAAACCAUCUACUCCUGCGCUGGCCCACCCUCGACUGAGAUGGCAGAUCCAAGGAAGGCGUCUACACAGACUGAUCUUCAGAAGUAUGACAAACCCAGAGUCCAGGACCGCAGUGACCGAUGAGUCCAGUGAGAUCACGUGCUCAUCGGACUUGCAGCGAAUAAAAGUUGCUUGAACACAUGAGCCCGAACA